rnacentral:rRNA from 1 species
CUACGGGUGGCUGCAGUGGGGAAUAUUGCACAAUGGAGGAAACUCUGAUGCAGCAACGCCGCGUGGAGGAUGACACUUUUCGGAGCGUAAACUCCUUUUAUAUAGGAAGAAGAUGACGGUACUAUAUGAAUAAGCGCCGGCUAACUCCGUGCCAGCAGCCGCGGUAAUACGGAGGGCGCAAGCGUUACUCGGAAUCACUGGGCGUAAAGAGCGUGUAGGCGGAUUAAAAAGUCAGAAGUGAAAUCCUAUAGCUUAACUAUAGGACUGCUUCUGAAACUCUUAAUCUAGAAUGUGGGAGAGGUAGAUGGAAUUUCUGGUGUAGGGGUAAAAUCCGUAGAGAUCAGAAGGAAUACCGAUUGCGAAGGCGAUCUACUAGAACAUUAUUGACGCUGAGACGCGAAAGCGUGGGGAGCAAACAGGAUUAGAUACCCGCGUAGUC